GGUACCCAUAAUCUAGCCGUCAUCCUGUGUAAAGAAGCCGGAUAUAUAGUUAUAGCAGUCGAAGCAUAAUAAGGUGUAAUUACUAAUUUGUGCUUUCUUAUUACAUUUUCCUACACUGUAAUGGACGUAUAGAACGUCAUUGAGUAAGUAAGAAGUAAUCACUAUUGUGUAUCUGUCAUUGAACAAUUGACAUUUCGUCAUUCGUGAUUUUCUGCUACAAACCAAUUAUAACCUAGAAAUUAGAAUAUAAUUUCAGAAUAGUGAAUUUAAAGCGAAAAGUCAAGUGUAAUAAUAAUAAGUUUAAAGUAUUUGCAUCAGGACUAUAAAAAAUAAAUAUGUUUCGCCUACCCUUCGGAGAAAGAGUUGACCCUUUGGAAGAAAAACGCCAAGCCCGAGAAAACACCAUAAACAGUGUGAUUAUUUUUGGUGUUCUUUGCGCUGCAAUUCGUAUAGCACCCAUGAUCUUGGAGCACAGCGGGUUCUAAUUCAAAAUAUAUUGUGAAGAAUGAUGCUACUAAAUUAAAUGACUAAGUUUGUAUAGCAGUAUUUAAUUUUAUGUUAAUGGUUAUUGAAAAUAAACAUAAUGUAAUAAAUUA